CAGUCGCCGCGGUAAUACGAAGGGGGCUAGCGUUGUUCGGAUUUACUGGGCGUAAAGCGCACGUAGGCGGAUCCUUAAGUCAGAGGUGAAAUCCCAAGGCUCAACCUUGGAACUGCCUUUGAUACUGGGGAUCUCGAGUUCGGGAGAGGUGAGUGGAACUGCGAGUGUAGAGGUGAAAUGCGUAGAUAUCGGAAGGAACACCUGUGGCGAAAGCGGCUCACUGGACCAUUUCUGACGCUGAUGCACGAAAGCUAGGGGAGCAAACAGGAUUAGAUACCCGAGUAGUCCCUGUCUCUUAUAC
rnacentral:rRNA from 1 species